GCACCAUUGGUCUAGUGGUAGAAUACAACGUUGCCAUCGUUGUGACCCGAGUUCGAUUCUCGGAUGGUGCA
rnacentral:tRNA from 3 species